UACAGGCUUAACACAUGCAAGUCGAGGGGUAGCAGGGUAGCAAUACCGCUGACGACCGGCGCACGGGUGAGUAACACGUAUCCAACCUUCCCAUAACUCGGGGAUAGCCUUUCGAAAGAAAGAUUAAUACCCGAUAGUACUUAAGAAAGGCAUCUUUUUUAAGUUAAAGAUUUAUUGGUUAUGGAUGGGGAUGCGUUCCAUUAGAUAGUUGGUGAGGUAACGGCUCACCAAGUCUUCGAUGGAUAGGGGUUCUGAGAGGAAGGUCCCCCACAUUGGUACUGAGACACGGACCAAACUCCUACGGGAGGCAGCAGUGAGGAAUAUUGGUCAAUGGGCGAGAGCCUGAACCAGCCAAGUAGCGUGAAGGAUGACGG
rnacentral:rRNA from 1 species